rnacentral:rRNA from 1 species
AGAGUUUGAUCAUGGCUCAGGACGAACGCUGGCGGCGUGCUUAACACAUGCAAGUCGAACGGAAAGGCCCUUCGGGGUACUCGAGUGGCGAACGGGUGAGUAACACGUGGGUAAUCUGCCCUGCACUUCGGGAUAAGCCUGGGAAACUGGGUCUAAUACCGGAUAGGACCCCUUGGCGCAUGCCUUGGGGUGGAAAGCUUUUGCGGUGUGGGAUGGGCCCGCGGCCUAUCAGCUUGUUGGUGGGGUGAUGGCCUACCAAGGCGACGACGGGUAGCCGGCCUGAGAGGGUGUCCGGCCACACUGGGACUGAGAUACGGCCCAGACUCCUACGGGAGGCAGCAGUGGGGAAUAUUGCACAAUGGGCGCAAGCCUGAUGCAGCGACGCCGCGUGGGGGAUGACGGCCUUCGGGUUGUAAACCUCUUUCACCAUUGACGAAGGUCCGGGUUUUCUCGGAUUGACGGUAGGUGGAGAAGAAGCACCGGCCAACUACGUGCCAGCAGCCGCGGUAAUACGUAGGGUGCGAGCGUUGUCCGGAAUUACUGGGCGUAAAGAGCUCGUAGGUGGUUUGUCGCGUUGUUCGUGAAAUCUCACGGCUUAACUGUGAGCGUGCGGGCGAUACGGGCAGACUGGAGUACUGCAGGGGAGACUGGAAUUCCUGGUGUAGCGGUGGAAUGCGCAGAUAUCAGGAGGAACACCGGUGGCGAAGGCGGGUCUCUGGGCAGUAACUGACGCUGAGGAGCGAAAGCGUGGGGAGCGAACAGGAUUAGAUACCCUAGUAGUCC